AUUGAACGCUGGCGGAAGGCCUAACAUAAGCAAGUCGAACGAGUGGCGGACGGGUGAGUAAUGUCUGGGAAACUGCCUGAUGGCGGGGGAUAACUACUGGAAACGGUAGCUAAUACCGCAUACCAUCGGAUGUGCCCAGAUGGGAUUAGCUAGUAGGUGGGGUAAAGGCUCACCUAGGCGACGAUCCCUAGCUGGUCUGAGAGGAUUACCAGCCACACUGGAACUGAUACACGGUCCAGACGCCGACGGGAGGCAGCAGUGGGGAAUAGUGCACAAUGGGCGCAAGCCUGAGGCAGCCAGGCCGCGUGUAUGAAGAAGGCCUUCGGUUUGUAAAGUACUUUCAGCGGGGAGGGGUUACCCGCAGAAGAGAGACCGGCUAACUCCGAGCCAGCAGCCGCGGUAAUUC
rnacentral:rRNA from 1 species